ensembl:lncRNA
CGCUGUUCAUGAUCAUGAUAUAGUGGUGUUACCUCACCCUGAGCUGUUCAUUAUCAUGAUAUAGUGGUGUUACCUCACCCUGCGCUGUUCAUGAUCAUGAUAUAGUGGUGUUACCUCACCCUGCGCUGUUCAUUAUCAUGAUAGUGGUGUUACCUCAACCUGUUCAUUAUCAUGAUAUAGUGGUGUUACCUCACCCUGUUCAUUAUCAUGAUAUAGUGGUGUUACCUCACCCUGUUCAUUAUCAUGAUAUAGUGGUCUGUUCAUUAUCUCCAGUAUCGUGAUAUAGUAGUGUUACCUCACCCUGAGCUGUUCAUUAUCUCCAGUAUCGUGAUAUAGUGGUGUUCUCACCCUGUUCAUUAUCUCCAGUAUCGUGAUAUAGUGGUGUUCUCACCCUGUUCAUUAUCUCCAAUAUCGUGAUAUAGUGGUGUUACCUCACCCUGUUCAUUAUCUCCAGUAUCGUGAUAUAGUAGUGUUAUCUCACC